CCUACGGGGGGCAGCAGUGGGGAAUCUUCCGCAAUGGGCGAAAGCCUGACGGAGCAACGCCGCGUGAGUGAAGAAGGUCUUCGGAUCGUAAAGCUCUGUUGUCGGGGACGAAAGAGUAGACGAGGAAAUGCGUCUACUAAGACGGUACCUGACGAGGAAGCCACGGCUAACUACGUGCCAGCAGCCGCGGUAAUACGUAGGCGGCAAGCGUUGUCCGGAAUUAUUGGGCGUAAAGGGAGCGCAGGUGGGACGGUAAGUCCGUCUUAAAAGGCAGGGGCUCAGCCCCUGUAAGGGAUGGAAACUAUCGAUCUUGAGUGCCGGAGAGGAAAGCGGAAUUCCCAGUGUAGCGGUGAAAUGCGUAGAUAUUGGGAAGAACACCAGUGGCGAAGGCGGCUUUCUGGACGGCAACUG
rnacentral:rRNA from 1 species